rnacentral:rRNA from 1 species
GUAGGUGGCAAGCGUUGUCCGGAAUUAUUGGGCGUAAAGCGCGCGCAGGCGGUCCUUUAAGUCUGAUGUGAAAGCCCACGGCUCAACCGUGGAGGGUCAUUGGAAACUGGGGGACUUGAGUACAGAAGAGGAAAGCGGAAUUCCAAGUGUAGCGGUGAAAUGCGUAGAGAUUAGGAGGAACACCAGUGGCGAAGGCGGCUUUCUGGUCUGUAACUGACGCUGAGGCGCGAAAGCGUGGGGAGCAAACAGGGAUUAGAUACCCUGGUAGUCCACGCCGUAAACGAUGAGUGCUAAGUGUUAGGGGGUUUCCCGCCCCUUAGUGCUGCAGCUAACGCAUUAAGCACUCCGCCUGGGGAGUACGGCCCGCAAGGCUG